GGUAGGGUGGCCGAGUAGGUAGUGGGUUGUAGCCCCAAAGACAGAGGUUUAAGUCCUCUCCGUACCA
rnacentral:tRNA from 1 species